GAGUUUGAUCAUGGCUCAGAACGAACGCUGGCGGCGUGGAUAAGACAUGCAAGUCGAACGGAGAUCUUGAAUAGCUUGCUAAUUGAGAUCUUAGUGGCGGACGGGUUAGUAACACGUGAGAACCUACCCUUUAGACAGGAAUAGCCCAUGGAAACGUGGAUUAAUGCCUGAUAGUCUCUACGGAGUAAAUGGUGCCUUCUGGUAUCGCUAGAGGAUGGGCUCGCGGCCUAUCAGCUUGUUGGUGAGGUAAAGGCUCACCAAGGCGACGACGGGUAGCUGGUCUGAGAGGACGAUCAGCAACACUGGAACUGAGACACGGUCCAGACACCUACGGGUGGCAGCAGUCGAGAAUCAUUCACAAUGGAGGCAACUCUGAUGGUGCAACGCCGCGUGGAGGAUGACGGUCCUAGGAUUGUAAACUCCUGUCAUUGGGGAGUAAGACUUAAGCGUUAAGAGCGUUUAAGUUUGAUAGUACCCAAAGAGGAAGGGACGGCUAACUUCGUGCCAGCAGCCGCGGUAAUACGAAGGUCCCAAGCGUUGUUCGGAAUCACUGGGCGUAAAGCGUGUGUAGGCUGCGCGGAAAGUCAAAUGUGAAAGCCCGGGGCUCAACCUCGGAACUGCAUUCGAUACUCCCGUGCUAGAGUAAUGGAGAGGUAAGUGGAAUUCCUGGUGUAGCAGUGAAAUGCGUGGAUAUCAGGAGGAACAUCAAUGGCGAAGGCAACUUACUGGACAUUUACUGACGCUCAGACACGAAAGCUAGGGUAGCGAAAGGGAUUAGAUACCCCUGUAGUCCUAGCAGUAAACGGUGCUCGCUUGGUGUGGGAGGAUUCGACCCCUUCUGUGCCGGAGCUAACGCGUUAAGCGAGCCGCCUGGGAAGUACGGUCGCAGACUAAAACUCAAGAAAUUGACGGGACCCGCACAGCGGUGGAGUAUGUGGCUUAAUUCGAUGCAACGCGAAGAACCUUA
rnacentral:rRNA from 1 species